UACGUAGGGGGCUAGCGUUGUUCGGAAUCACUGGGCGUAAAGCGUACGUAGGCGGCUUUGUAAGUUAGAGGUGAAAGCCCGGGGCUCAACCCCGGAAUUGCCUUUAAGACUGCAUCGCUUGAACGUCGGAGAGGUGAGUGGAAUUCCGAGUGUAGAGGUGAAAUUCGUAGAUAUUCGGAAGAACACCAGUGGCGAAGGCGGCUCACUGGACGACUGUUGACGCUGAGGUACGAAAGCGUGGGGAGCAAACAGG
rnacentral:rRNA from 1 species